rfam:Medicago truncatula strain A17 chromosome 7, whole genome shotgun sequence.
AAACAGCCCCCUAUGUUUUGAUUCUUUGGCAGUUUUGGCCCCCAAGGCAAAAUAAAAAUAACAAAUUUGACACGUGGCACCUCACUUAGGGUGCCACGUUAGUGUUGAUCGACUCAACACUGGACUGGGGGUUCAAAACUGCCAAAGAAUCAAAACAUAGGGGGCUAUUU